UAGGGAAUCUUCGGCAAUGGGGGCAACCCUGACCGAGCAACGCCGCGUGAGUGAAGAAGGUUUUCGGAUCGUAAAGCUCUGUUGUAAGAGAAGAACGAGUGUGAGAGUGGAAAGUUCACACUGCGACGGUAACUUACCAGAAAGGGACGGCUAACUACGUGCCAGCAGCCGCGGUAAUACGUAGGUCCCGAGCGUUAUCCGGAUUUAUUGGGCGUAAAGCGAGCGCAGGCGGUUAGAUAAGUCUGAAGUUAAAGGCUGUGGCUUAACCAUAGUACGCUUUGGAAACUGUUUAACUUGAGUGCAGAAGGGGAGAGUGGAAUUCCAUGUGUAGCGGUGAAAUGCGUAGAUAUAUGGAGGAACACCGGUGGCGAAAGCGGCUCUCUGGUCUGUAACUGACGCUGAGGCUCGAAAGCGUGGGGAGCAAACAGGAUUAGAUACCCUGGUAGUCCACGCCGUAAACGAUGAGUGCUAGGUGUUGGGUCCUUUCCGGGACUCAGUGCCGCAGCUAACGCAUUAAGCACUCCGCCUGGGGAGUACGACCGCAAGGUUG
rnacentral:rRNA from 1 species